UUCGCCGAUGCCAAGCUGCCCGACAUGCAGGCGGGAUGGGAGCAGAUGUGCUCGAACGUCCUCGCCGGGCUCUCGGGGCUGAACCUCGUUUACGAGGCCG
rfam:Roseovarius halotolerans strain CECT 8110 genome assembly, contig: 0001